rnacentral:rRNA from 1 species
GACGAACGCUGGCGGCGGGCCUAAUACAUGCAAGUCAAGCGGUGAAGGGGGGUAUUCGUACGGAUUGGGUGAGGGGCGGACGGGUGAGUAACGCGUGUGGAAUCGGCCGUGGAGGGGGGGGCAAGAUAAGGAAAGGAAUGCUAAUACCGCAUAAGAGGUUGAAAGACAGGGUUUAUGGGUGAAAGAGGCAAUUGCAUCACCUAAGUAGGAUCCCCCGGUGUAUUAGCUAGAUGGUGAGGUAAAGGCCCACCAAGGCGAUGAUACAUAGCCGGCCUGAGAGGGUGGACGGCCACAUUGGGACUGGGACAACGCCCAAACUCCUACGGGAGGCAGCCGUAGGGGAACAUUGGCAAUGGAGGAAAGUCUGAACGCAGCACGCCGCGUGGGUGGAGAAGGUUUUCGGGACGUUAAACUCUGUUAGUAGAGAAGGAAGGUGAUGAGGGUAAAACGCUCAUGAAGUGACGGUAACUACACAGAAAGCGCCGGCUAACUACGUG